rnacentral:sRNA from 1 species
CAAGGAGUUGACGGCGAUGGCAACGACAACGACAAAAAUCAGAGCUCUCGAUGUCCGCCGUACCUCAUCCUCAGCGACGGGCAGCAUU